GUUUCUGGGAAUGAAGUACGUUUAUGACAUAAUAUACAAUAAAAUAUAUAAUGUUGUUCUACACAUUAUAAAUAUAUCAACGUAUACUUAUUAACCAUAAAAAUUAGGAUUAUUUUCGAAUCUAUCAUUACAAAUUCUGAUAUAGAAACACAUUCGAAAAAUAAAUUUGAAAAAAAAAAAAUCGAAUGAGUUAUCAAAGUAUUGUAAAAUUUAAAUCGAUUAAUUAUAUCGAUACUUCAGUGGAAUUCCCCUGAUUAUUUCGAAGUAGCUGAUGACGCCACAUCAACGAAAUUUUAUACGUUUAUUUUUUCUUACAAUAUCAGUGAAAGUACUAAGAAGGGGAUCUGAUUCUCGUUAAUUGUUUCAUUCGAAUAUUUUCUGUUUUAUUUAAAAAAUAGAAAUAACAAUUUGGAAACUAUGGGCGACUCAUCAAGUCUUAUUCCUCGGGAAGGACCUCGAGUUGUACACUAUUUGAUAGAUCUCUUUAAUUAUUUAAAAAGAGCUACAGGAUUUCGGGCUGAUCAUUUUCGUGCUCCUCAUGAUUUACAAGAAACAUUGGAAUCAAUGGAGCAUUAUAAAAUGCCUCGAGAAAUAUGGAAUGCGAUAUUAAACUUAGCUAUGAAAUUAGUUACUGAAUUACCUCGUAUGGAAAACGUCGAUCAACUUAUUUCUUUCAUUAUUAAUAUAGCUAUCACAUUGACUCAAUAUUUGUUGAAAUAUUUCUUUUUGCGAGUCACAUUAUUGAUACUUGCCGGUGUGGAAUCUGCAGCUUUAUCAGCUAUUAUCAUAUUUAUUUAUCAUUUUGUCACUUGGGCAAUUAUACCAGUAAUGAAUUACAUUAGACCGAAACUCGAAGAAUAUGCAAAGUUCACUUUUGAAAAGUUAAAAGAAUUUUUCGCCCCUAAAAGUCAUCAAUUACUUUUUUUU